UGAAUGCCUCUGGGACACUUGGAUUUCUC
rnacentral:piRNA from 1 species